rnacentral:rRNA from 1 species
CAGCAGCCGCGGUAACACGUAGGUGGCAAGCGUUGUCCGGAAUUAUUGGGCGUAGAGGGCUCGCAGGCGGUUUCUUAAGUCUGAUGUGAAAGCCCCCGGCUCAACCGGGGAGGGUCAUUGGAAACUGGGAAACUUGAGUGCAGAAGAGGAGAGUGGAAUUCCACGUGUAGCGGUGAAAGGCGUAGAGAUGUGGAGGAACACCAGUGGCGAAGGCGACUCUCUGGUCUGUAACUGACGCUGAGGAGCGAAAGCGUGGGGAGCGAACAGGAUUAGAUACCCCAGUAGUCCCUGUCUCUUAUAC